GAAUGAGGCCUCAAAUAGUGUUGUUUGGAGACUCCAUUACGCAGCAAUCUUUCAGAUCAGGGGGUUGGGGUGCUUCUGUCGCUGAUACAUACUCAAGAAAGGUUGAUGUAGUCCUUCGCGGCUAUGGCGGCUAUAACACUAGGUAUCUGAAGCGCCUUCUCCUGCAGCGGUUACUAUUUUUUUCGGGGCUAAUGAUGCUGCUCUUUUGGAGGGCACUGGAAAAAGGCAGCAUGUACCUUUGGAAGAAACAAGGAAAACUUGAGAAAAAUGGUUCAGCAAAUCAGGGUAUUUUUCCUACCUUCUGUGCUUCGUAUUGGCAACCUUCUGUUUAGAUAGAAUUUCAUGAAAUGAUUCCUUUGGAAGUCAAAUACAGUGAAGAGUAUCAAUAGCUUACUGAACUAAGAUUCACAUAGAGAACUGAUUGUGCAACUCUUCAGUGAUUCCACAAGUGUUAGACUGGUCCAAUCAUCUUUUGCUAUAGCAUUUUAAAUGGUUUUAGAUUAAAAUUGUAGAAUUGUUCCCCCAAAACGCUUGUUGUGCUCAGUGUUGUUAAAAUCGCGCCCCGAGCGCGCUUGGGUCGCGGGUCGCAAGGGUCGAGACCGACAUCGCCCCAAUGCGGUGGGGUCGUGCGAGAUCCGUGGAGCGACGGUGGGGCGCGCCUGGGUCGUCUGGGUCGCCGUGGAGCGCCUGGGUCGUCUGGGUCGCCCCGAUUCGUGGUGGUCGUCGGGAAAAUGGGUGCUCCAUUUUUAGGUUUAAAUUGGGAAUUGCAGAAUUUGUGUUAAUGGAAGGGGAGAAGAGGGGUAGGUAUGCUUUGGGAAGUGAGCUAUUGCACGUGGCCUUCUCAUGAAAUAAAUUCGCCACUUAGUUGAAUAGUAGUAAGCAAUGCACGUGGCCUUAUCAAUUUUUUAAUUCUAUUAAAAUGAAAUAUGUCAUAGGUUACUUCUUCUCUUCAAUUUUUUAAUUCUAUUAAAAUGAAAUGAUUAAAUAAAAUUUUUUAAUUCUAUUAAAAUGAAAUGAUUAAAUAAAAGAUAACUAAAUAUUUUAAUACUAUAGUUAAUUUGAGGCUCAUCAUAGAUAUAACUUGACACACAAAUUAUAUCCUCUUUAUAAAAAUUGUCCUGAUCUAAUACAUCAAACAAAAAAUAAAAAAAUUUAAAUCCAAAUUAUCUUGAAUGAUAAGAUAAUAAAAUCCUACACAUACUAUUUACUUAUUAUUUUAUAUUUUGCAACUUUUUUUGGAACUUUGAUGAUUUUUUAUAAUAAAAUUUAGUUAUUUAGUUAUGUUGUUUAAAAUUUAUAUUUUUUCGUCUAAUCUUCUCUUUUUAAUAUGGAGUAAUGAUGCAUGUAGAUUUAUUUGAUGUGAUAAACAUUCAAGCAACAAACUUAUAAAAGAGACACAAAUAUAAUUUUCAUUCGGCUAUUCUGGCGCCCCGAUUCGUGGGUCUCUCGCCCCGUCGCCCCAUCGCCCCGCGACCCGGGGUCCCCCCUCAUCGCCCCGGGGCGCCCCGCGACCCUAACAACACUGGUUGUGCUUAUAACUCCACCUCCUAUUGAUCUGGACGGUCGUCGAGAAUAUGCCAGGUCCAUGUAUGAUGAUAAGGCGUCGAAAGUGGCUGAUAGGACAAAUGAAGUAACUGGGACAUAUGCCGAGCAGUGUGUUGCUAUAGCCAAAGAACUUGGUCUUCCUUCAAUCAAUCUGUGGUCCAAGAUGCAAGAAACCAAUGGUUGGCAGAGAACAUUCUUGAGGUUAGUUAUCGAAUCAAUUCCAUUUAGAGCACGUUUAUCUAAUAGUCAAAAACUGUAUAUUAUGUUCUUACAACAAGCUGGGGAUUCUCUGAGUGAGAAUGUGGUUUUUGGGGAACUGGUCAAGAUUCUUGAUGAAGCAGGCUUCUCAGACCUGCCAUAUGAUUUCCCCCAACAUUCAGAAAUUGAUGAAGAAAACCCUGCAAGUUCCUUCGCUCAGUAAAUUUGGGAGGCUAUCAAUGCUUGAUGAGAACAGAUUUUGUCAAUGAAGUUUGAAGGAGUUAUUUACAAACAAUGGGUAAUCAAUAAACAUACCACUAUUUUAUUGUUGUAUAGUCGCUUGAUGCUGAAGCAGAUGCCAAAGGAAUCGCAGACCUGGCUACCACAAACUGAAGGCUGCCGGUUUCUGCCACUACCGGAAAACGUUUCACCAACACCCUGAUUCAUCAACGAUAUACAUCUCCCAUACUCUACCUGUUUACUUGAAACCUUUUGUGCAUCUCAUUAUACCUCAACUCUAUGUAUCUUUUGGCACUCGGAACCAUCACUGCUGAACGACAUAGAGUGAAGAUAUGUUCAACAUAAUUUCAUAAUUCUCCAUAGAUCCCAAAGAUGUCAUGAAAUUACUCAUAACAGUCAACAUCAACUCUAGACAUAUCAACUAAGUUAUAGAACUUACUUCAAAUUUUUCAUUC